AUGCAUGGCCGACGCGGGUCAAGGUGUAGUGUCUGUUCUUAUCAGCUUAAUAGCUGAUGCGGGUUGUAUUUGGAGCGAAGAUAUUAAACUUAUUUUUGAAAGUUCGCGGAGUGCUUAAAGUCUGCUUCACAUGCGCCCAGGUCGACCCGGAAUUGUAAUAUAUUAGGAAUCUGCCCAUAUAUG